GUGUCAGCCGCCGCGGUAAUACGUAGGGGGCGAGCGUUGUCCGAAUUCACUGGGCGUAAAGCGCGCGUAGGCGGGUUCUUAAGUUGGUGGUGAAAUGCCGAGGCUCAACCUCGGAACUGCCUCCAAAACUGGGAGCCUUGAGGUAUGGAGAGGGAAGUGGAAUUCCUGGUGUAGCGGUGAAAUGCGUAGAUAUCAGGAGGAACACCUGUGGCGAAGGCGGCUUCCUGGCCAUAAUCUGACGCUGAGGUGCGAAAGCUAGGGGAGCGAACGGGAUUAGAAACCCGGGUAGUCC
rnacentral:rRNA from 1 species